CCGCCAUAUCGCAAUAGAAACGCCAGUUCCUGUUCGAUCACCGAAGCGAAGGAACAUCGAGCCUUUUUCAGUACCUAAAUGGGUGAUCGCUUCGGAAUACCAGGUGCUGUAAG